rnacentral:misc_RNA from 1 species
CAUUACUGAACUGUCGACACGAGUUGUUGCUGGUCCUCAAAUGNNGNNAUGUGCACACUCUGUUUACACACCCACUCACACCUGUGCACCCUCUGUAGUUCUGUGGCGUGGGGGANCCUGUCCUCCCGCCGUGGUUCUAUGUCUUUACACACACUCGGUGAUAAAGUCUUAUGGAAUGUAUCUAGCGUUUAACGCAAUAAAAUACAACUUUCAGCAACGGAUCUCUUGGCUCUCGCAUCGAUGAAGAACGCAGCGAAAUGCGAUAAGUAAUGUGAAUUGCAGAAUUCAGUGAAUCAUCGAAUCUUUGAACGCACCUUGCGCCCUUUGGCUAUUCCGAAGGGCAUGCCUGUUUGAGUAUCAUGAACACCUCAACUCUCAUGGUUUGCCAUGAUGAGCUUGGACUUUGG